AACUGUGACCUCUUUCCCCUC
rnacentral:misc_RNA from 1 species